rnacentral:lncRNA from 1 species
AAAGCUGAAAGCGUGCGAGGGGGGUGGGGUGGAAAUAGCGGCUGCUUCUUUUCCAAGGACUUAUUUAAUGGGGAUGUGUUCAAGGCAAGACCGAAUUCAGAAGGAUAUCGACGUCGUGAUCCAGAAGUCCAGAGCUGAGGACUGCCUGUUUGCAGAUUUCAGAUACUCAGACUCCACCUUUACUUUUACCUAUGUUGGCGGCCCCAGAAGGAGUGAAGGCAAUUUUGAAGGCAUGACUACGACCUGCUCUGGCCACAAGAGCUAAGAGUUGCCAGGUGUGGUGGCUCAAACACUUUGAGAUGCCAAUCCCAACACUUUGAGAGGCCAAGGCAGGAGGAUUGCUUGAGGCUAGGAGCUUGAAACCAGCCUGGGCAACACAGUGAGACCCCAUCUCUACAAAAAAUAAAAAAACAGGCCAGGCGCAGUGGCACUUAGGGAGGCCAAGGUGGGUGGAUCACCUGAGGUCAGGAGUUCGAGACCAGCCUGACCAACAUGGAGAAACCCCGUCUCUACAAAAAAUACAAAGUUUGCCAGUGUGGUGGCACAUGCCUGUUAUCCCAGCUACUCAGGAGGCUGAGGCAGGAGAAUCGCUUGAACCCGAAAGGCAGAGGUUGCAGUGAGUGGAGAUCACGCCAUUGCACUCCAGCCUGCGCAACAAGAGUGAAACUCCAUCUCAAAUAAAUAAAUAAAAUAAAGUUUUAAAAAGUCAAAAUUA